CAGAAAUGUUAUAGUCCGGCACAAUGGGAAGCUCUUCAAGCAAAAUAAUACCACAUAUUCUAAUGCUUUCUCUUUUACUUCCUUUCUAUUUUCGUGACAGCUCUUCAAAGCAAUUGGCAUACUUUUAAUGUACAAAUUACUUUCUUUAAAAUAGUUGUAGCACCCCUUAUUCCCUUACAGAAGGUACAUACUAAUACCUUCUUUUUUUUUUUUUUUUUUUGAAGCAUGUCAAAUUGCCCCAGAGAAAAGAUAUGGUUUAUUAUAACCAUAUAUACCUUUUGCUUUAAAGUUCCUAAUACAUAGGAUGUUUUGGCAAAUUUUUAGAGAGCACUACAUAAAUUGUAUAAGAUGCUGCUAAGAUUUUUGACUGUUCGAUCUCCUUUGUUUAUACGAGUAAGGGGAUCUAUCAAGGAUUUAUUAUAAAUAAUAUGCAUACCUAGCCCUUGUCACCAAAUUGUGUUUUCUUAACCUAAAAGUUUUGAUAAUUUUAUCUCAUACUAAUGUUUCAAUACUUCUUUCACAUAAUUCCAUCACUCGAAAGGUAAUUGCUCUUCUUGUUAAACUACGAUUACUUCAAAAAUCAACUCGAAACUGUAAAUUUGAAGAAUCAAAGAGUUGUUCUAUACUAAGCAAAUAAUAAUAACACUCUAACUUGAGUAUUUCUUUGCAUAAAC